CCAAACUUGGUCAUUUAGAGGAAGUAAAAGUCGUAACAAGGUUUCCGUAGGUGAACCUGCGGAAGGAUCAUUAAUGAAUAUUAGGGUGCUACGUCUCUUCAUCAGAGCUAGGCCCGAACCUUCAUCCUUCUACACUGUGCACUUUUAAUCAUUGGUCAAGCUGGAAACGGCUUCCAAUACACUUUAAAAACUCUUCUAGUCAUAGAAUGUUUAAACCUAUAACAAAGAAAAACUUUCAACAACGGAUCUCUUGGCUCUCGCAUCGAUGAAGAACGCAGC
rnacentral:misc_RNA from 1 species